UUCUCAUCUCCAGCCCCCACUGGCUUAGCUUAGCACAAAGAUUGGAAGUAAGUGGCUCCAGCUAGCAUACAGCUCCCAAUAAGUGACAAAAUAACGCGAACAUUUUCCUAUUUAUGUGUUUUGAUUUGUAUAGUCACAUUGUGUACAAAAUAGAGACACAGUCGAUUGAACUGACUCAUUUCAGCUGUUCUGUAACCGAAAACUUCGAGUUAACUUCGAAUCGGUUGAACCUCCUUCAUGAUACCGGCCCCAGGUUGUGCUCAAGUAUCUGUAAUGUUUAUAAUCUAUUUCAUGUGUCUAAAUGCAUUUUCUCUUACAGUGGUUCUGGAUCUGGCCACUCCUGCAACAAAAGCCAGCAUCAGUCUGGACCACACCAAACCAAAAGCGCUAGAGCGCCCCUUUGACUGCAUCCGGAGGGGCAAAGUGGAGACAGUGCUGAACCCACAGCCUCCAGUCAGUUUGAGCAAUCUUUCUUCAAAGGAUUCCUCAGAUCUGGCCAGUCAGUCGAAGGUGGUUAAAGGUGGUCCAGAAGAACCAACAUCAUUAAUUGAAGAUUACCUCCGGAGAGUGAUGCUUCCAAACAGGGCAGAUCAGUCACAUCCUGAUGCCACGGAUAAAGCCAGUCUGCCUAUUUCCAAGACUCGUGUGAGUCUUGAAGGAACCGACGUGCAUGUCAGGCAAAAAUCGGACCCGAAAACCGGAUGUGGCCAAAAAUCCAGUGGCUAAAGUGUCCAAAAGUGCUGGUCAGCAGAGACAGAAAAAAAAAGGGUAAACCAAGCCCCAAAAGUCUUCUGCCAAAAGGUCCUGAAUCUUUUAAUGCUGAUUAUAAGCUUCAUGAUCAGGACGGCAUCAAUAGCAAUGUUGUCACAGGAAUCCGCACAGCUGAUGGCAAAGAGGUACAGUAGGGCACGCGUACUUAUUUCAACAAACAUUAGGCAAACCUUAAAAGUUUUGUGCGGUAUCAAGGGUUUUAUAAUGUUUUAUCAAUUCUGUCUUUCUCUUUGCAGGUCACCAUCAAGCGUGUGGAGUUGGAUGACAAAGAUGUUAUUCAUUAUCCUGGAUAUUGCAAACCGCUCCCUACAGAGGUGACGCUGAUGCUAAAAUUAAGAGAAGCCCCUGAAUGCACUUAUGUCAUAAAAAAUGUAUGACUGGUACGAGGAACGCACCUGGGUCAUGCUUGUCCUCGAGUACCAAAGGGACUGGAAGGACUUGUAUUCUUAUAUCGAUAAGAAGGGAAUGAAGGAAGACAAAGCUUGCCGCCUUAUGCUUCAAUUAGUAAGAGCAGUUCAACACUGCUUGAAGCAUGAGGUGCUUCACAAUGAUAUCCAUUCUCAAAACAUCAUGGUGGAUGAAAGUGGUUUGCACCUGAAGUUAACAAACUUUAGGAUGGGUCGUCUAGUCAAAAGCACUGGCUACACAUCCAAACCACGUGAAGGUGAGCUGGAGUUUUUUAAUAACAUAGUGGAGCAUGGAAACUUGCUUUUAGUGACAUCAUGAUCAUGUGACCCUGUU